rnacentral:rRNA from 1 species
CGUUGAUUACGUCCCUGCCCUUUGUACACACCGCCCGUCGCUACUACCGAUUGAAUGGCUCAGUGAGGCCUUCGGACUGGCUCCAGGAGGUUGGCGACAACCACCCAGAGCCGGAAAGUUGGUCAAACUCGGUCAUUUAGAGGAAGUAAAAGGUCGUAACAAGG